rnacentral:rRNA from 1 species
UACGGAAGGCAGCAGUGGGGAAUAUUGCACAAUGGGCGCAAGCCUGAUGCAGCCAUGCCGCGUGUAUGAAGAAGGCCUUCGGGUUGUAAAGUACUUUCAGUCGUGAGGAAGGUGUUAAGGUUAAUAACCUUAGCAAUUGACGUUAGCGACAGAAGAAGCACCGGCUAACUCCGUGCCAGCAGCCGCGGUAAUACGGAGGGUGCGAGCGUUAAUCGGAAUUACUGGGCGUAAAGGGCACGCAGGCGGUUAAUUAAGUUGGAUGUGAAAUCCCCGGGCUUAACCUGGGAAUGGCAUUCAAGACUGGUUAGCUAGAGUCUUGUAGAGGGGGUAGAAUUCCAUGUGUAGCGGUGAAAUGCGUAGAGAUGUGGAGGAAUACCGGUGGCAAAGGCGGCCCCUGGACAAAGACUGACGCUCAUGUGCGAAAGCGUGGGGAGCAAACAGGAUUAGAUACC